rnacentral:lncRNA from 1 species
AAAGGAUUUGAGGUAGUUUUGAAUGCCCCCCCCCCAACCCAACCGCUACGUAACCCCCGCCCCCCCUUUUAAGGAAUGUCUUGGCCAGCUGCUGUGAGGGGAAGAUGGUGGGAGGGGGUCGUCAUAGUGGGAGUGAAGGGGGGUGGUGAUGAGGCACACACUGACCCUGGAGGUUGCGUUCCCCUUUAAAAGUCACGGCACACUCAGAUACGCAAGGCUCAUGCAGGAGCUGCUGCGGCAGUGGGAGAACACUGCUGAGCUGUGCAGUUUGUACUGCCAGUGAGCGCGCAGAGAGGAGGAGGGGGAGCAAGAGAUAGAAAAAGAGAGAGAGAGCCAGAGAAUGAGGCAGGGAUAGAAGCGAACAAUGUCAUUCCAUUCAGCAGGCAAUGCUGCAGUCAACUUACACCCUGCUGCGGCGAGUGGGAGGAACACUAGCUGAGCUGUGCAGUUGUACUGCCAGUGAGCGCGCAGAGAGGAGGAGGGGGAGCAAGAGAUAGAAAAGAGAGAGAGAGCCAGAGAAUGAGGCAGGGAUAGAAAGCGAACAAUGUCAUUCCAUUCAGCAGGCAAUGCUGCAGUCAACUUUACACCACCGGAGAAGAAGACACGGCCGCUUGUGCAUCAUCCCUGCAAGACCCGGAGUUUUUGCUGCUGAAGCCCUAAAGCAGAGGGCGCCGUGCAGACCAACAAGAACAUGCCUUGACUUGUACCGGCUUGUCAGGAGGGAGUUAAGGCUUGUGGUCAGCACCAGCAACUGUAUUGUUCUCAUCUAAAUGACCAGUGAAAGAUGACAACUGCAUACUAUCGACUGGAGAAUAUAUGGAUAUUGGGACAGACUGGGCUGAGAAUCUCGGCAGGGAUAUCCUCUCUCUGGAAGAUCCCUGACUUCACCUCCUCUGAUGACAUGACCCCUGAGAGAGACAAAAGAAACGUAUCCAGAUGUCCUGGAGAAGAUGAGAGACCCUGUGUCAGCAGUAAGGAAACCUCUCACCUACCUUCAUCUCUUGGAAAGCAAAAGCAGAACAAAGGCUUAUUCUUUAAGGGGAAAUCUACCUCUGUCCCUUGGCUGUCAUACAAGUACUGUGUGUGGACAUUCCACGAGCAGAGUAUUAAAGUGUCCAGAGCUGACCUGCAGGAGACGGCAGAGUCAUAUACUGGAAGCCUUUACAGUCACCGACAGCUGAUGGUGAUGGAAGGAAAGAGAGCGAGUGAGGGAUGAGGGCUGCUGCUGUGAGUGGUUCUUUGGCAGUGUCUUAGCUGGUUGUUGUGUGGAGUGAGAACGAAGCAAUCAGCAAGUAUACUGCCGCAGAAACUCGUCACCUUGAGAGGCCCAUCCAUCCGACCCCGCUCAUACACUCGACUGCCCACCCGCACUCAGAGGCUGGAGAGAGACAGGAAAAGAGAAACCUUAGUCUGUGCUCAUUAUCAAGCUUCUCUACCCAUUCAUUCUUCUUCUAAUUGUGAGUGUCAGCUUUUGUUUAAUGGCACCGCUGCUUAAACACUUACAGCGACUUGAGUGUUUCAAGUGAAAGAUUGGUUCAUGCUUACAGUAUGUUUACUCUUAUUUUCUAUGACAUUGCUGACUUAGUUUAGAUCAGUCUGUUCCCUUUCUUUCUUCUUCCAUGAGAUCAAGAGUGAAUCAUUCAAGUGUUAUUGUGAAUAUCAGCUGACCAGAUUUCACAGUUUCAGUAAUGGUAUGACUUGGCCUAUAUUUAGCUUACAGUCUGAUGACAUAUGCAUACUGUGUUCUGUGUAUGUAUAAACUUAAUCGUGGACCAAAACAUUAAUCAUAUGAUAAACCAAAAAUAAUAUUUAUUUACAUUUCACUUAUAUACUAAAAUUAGAGAGAAUAUAUAUGUGAAAGAAAGAAAUACAGUGGGUAAGGAAAGUAUUCAGACCCCCUUACAUUUUUCACUUUCACCCUAAUACUUAGGACCAUGUGAUAUUUCAGUUUUUCUUUUUUAAUAAAUCUGCAAAAAUGUAAACAAUUCUGUGUUUUUCUGUGAAUAUGGGGUGCUGUGUGUACAUUAAUGAGCAAAAAAAAAAAUGAACUUAAAUGAUUUUAGCAAAUGGCUGCAAUAUAACAAAGAGUGAAAAAUUUAAGGGGGUCUGAAUACUUUCCGUACCCACUGUAUAUAAAAUUCACUUCAUUCAAAAAUAAAAUUACAAUUUUUGUAUUUUGUAAAUUUUUAUUUUUUGUAAUAUUUUUGUAUCAAGUAAUAUUUCUUUUAAAAAUAAGAUUAAAACUAUAUAUACUAAAAAAUAUAUAUAUAGAAAAAUUCUAUAUAAAUGCAUUUUUAAAAUUCUAAUAACAAUAAAAACAUUCUUAUUAUUGUCGUGUUAUUUUUCUGUUUCUGGCAUAUGGUUAGUCUUUAAAGCAGUUUUAAGUUGAGUUUCAUUUUCAGGGAAUUUCAUUAGUGUGUGGGUUUCGGUUGUUGAUCUUCAAAAGGGCAGUUUUAUUCAGGUGAAUGAAAUGCCUGUAACUCACUUGAGGUUUUCAUGUAAUCACAUCAGUGUGGCAGUAAGUUUGAACUUGUCUAGAAAGCUGGAAAUCAAUUUAGUAAGGUCUUUCACAAUGUAUUAAAGUAAUUGUUUUAAUCAUAACCUAAAAGUGUGCUUAUAAUACUGUGAAAUGGAGUGUAACUUAAUAUCACAAACAUAUUGUAUUUUAAAAGGUAUAGUUAGUUUAAAGUUUAAGUUAAGUUAUUAGUUAUGUGUGUGUGUGUGUGUGUGUGUGUGUGUGUGUGUGUGUGUGUGUGUGUGUGUGUGUGUAAAAAGAGUAAUUAUAGCAAAUGAACUGUUUGAAUAUUUGUCCUAUAGGCCACUUACUACACUGGAUCUAAAUGGACAAUGGCAAUAAAAAAAUGUAUGCACAAAACAAUGUGCAUGAUAAAUGCCCAACUCCCAACAAACGUUGUUUCAGUUGUAUGGUUAACCCAGACAUAGACAGAAAGUACUUUGCAUUUAUUGUAGUUUAUCUCUUGAGUCUGAAUUGUAUUAUGUCAGUGGCUCUGGAGUUUAAUUUACAUUAUCUGUGAUAACAGAUUCAAACUGAACUUGAAUAUAUCAGUAUUCAAAAUAGAUGUUUUUACAUAGUCCUUCUCAAUUAUAUUUUACAUCAAAUUACACCGCAUACGAUGCAAUAAAAUAUAGUACAUAACAUAAUAAAAUGUAUUAAAAUAUGUAUCAUUCAACACAGUUAAUAUAAUAUAAUGAUUCCCUCUGCUGAAGGCCUCAUCAUUUAUGCUCACUUUCAACAACUUUUAGGCUACAUCUUCACACCUUACUGGCAGAAUUUAGGAAUUUGUUUAAUUAAUUAUGAAUGCAUUGCAGAAGAAUACAAAGUGCUGAUGACAUAUUUAUGUUGGUGAUGUCUGUCGAGCCUCUAAGGGUAUUUUUGAGAGCAAAUAAAAAACUGCACUGCUCACACCCACACUCACACUCACAUGGAGUAAUGAGAAUAAGAAAGUGAAAUUCCUCUAAAUAACACUCUGCAUGCACAGCUCACAGAGGUGAUGGGAAGAAAUCUAUAGGUUGCCUUUAAUGGCAAAGCAUUGAUUUUUUUUCUCUUCUCCACUUUCUUCCUCUCUGCCUGAAAUACAACGAUGCACCACAUUGGGACAGAAUGCUGCAGUUUUCCAGGAAACAGUAUUCUUAGAAAACUUGCUGCUCUACUGGUGACAGUGUGAUAAAAGGAGAUGCAUUUACCUCAAAUGAAUCCUGGCCUAAAUAAUAGACUAAAAGACAAAGAAAUCCACUAUAAGCUGAAAUAUAGGCUACCUUUUUUUUUUUUUUUACUAAAAACACAAUCUCUCUCCAAAAACUUUCAUUAUGAUAGAUCAAAAACUAAUAACUAAUGAUAUAAAGAGGUUAAAAGAAAAGAGACCAAGAUCUUAAAGCUUGAUUGAAGUUCAUAUAGCGCCAUCUAAUGGCGUAUUAUAGUGAUUGCAUGUAUUUAAUUGUCAAUAAUUGCAGGCACAUUUGCAAUGCCGCAUUGCUUGUACACAUACUUAAACCAAACUCUCAGUUCCAUUUGGAAUGUUGGAAUGUAGUUGCAUCUUAUAACAUUUUUGGGUGAAUGCACUGAUCUAUAGAUCAGUGGGGGAAUGACAUUUUGUUGAAAAGGAUUAACGUUCUAAAGAAAAAAAGAAUGUUUGUAAUCUUACGAAAAUUAACCAUGGUUUUACUACAAAUAAAACAAGGUUACUAAAGUUACCGCAAAUUAACCAUGGUUUUGCAACACUAACCAUAGUUUAACCACGAUAUUUGUAGUAAAACUGUGGUUAUACAAAUGUAGUCAAUAUGCCAAAAAAAACAUAGUUACUACAAUUUUACUAUAAUAAAACCAUAUUUAAUUUCCGUAAGUACUGGUGUUUUGUCGAAGUUCGUAAAUCUUUUAGGCCUAUGAGAAAUUAAAAUGUUCCGUCAUAAAAAAAUUUAAAAUAAAUUAAAAAAAUUAAAAAGAAUUUAUCUGAUUUACUGUCGUUUGUGAGGAAAAAUGUUAAACUUGCUUUCUGGCGUAUCUUUUAAUAAAACACAGACUUGUGAUUGGUUCCAUGUCCCCAUCUACUUGCGUGACAUUGAAACCUACAGAAAAAGUUACUAAAUGAUUCAGUGAACGAUUCUGUAUGAUUCUUUUUAGUGUUUCGAAUCAAAGGAUUCACUUGAUGAAUCACUCUCUUACACUAGUGACUUAACCUUCUCAAACUGUUAAACGCAAAAACAAAGUUCGUCAGCUUAGAUUACAAGGCUGGCCACACGUUUAGUCUGUUUUAUAACAAGUAACAAAAAAUGGACACGUUGUUCAUGUUUGAUUUGUUUUUUUCAAGACACUGUUUGCCUCGGCUGUUGUGAAGAAGCUGUUGGACUGGCUCUUGUAAAGCCUCUGGAACGCCGCUGGAUCUUAAAGCCCGUCUUGUUUUUCAGGGUAACGCUUUGUCAAGGGAAAAGUGGACUGGAAAUCUCUUCGGGUUAAAAGUGGAUUCGAUACUUUAAAUAAGACUCGCCUCUACCGAACAAACAAACUAGGCGUUAUUAGAUUUU